AUGAACGCUGGCGGUGUGCCUAAUACAUGCAAGUCGAGCGAACGGACGAGAAGCUUGCUUCUCUGAUGUUAGCGGCGGACGGGUGAGUAACACGUGGAUAACCUACCUAUAAGACUGGGAUAACUUCGGGAAACCGGAGCUAAUACCGGAUAAUAUUUUGAACCGCAUGGUUCAAAAGUGAAAGACGGUCUUGCUGUCACUUAUAGAUGGAUCCGCGCUGCAUUAGCUAGUUGGUAAGGUAACGGCUUACCAAGGCAACGAUGCAUAGCCGACCUGAGAGGGUGAUCGGCCACACUGGAACUGAGACACGGUCCAGACUCCUACGGGAGGCAGCAGUAGGGAAUCUUCCGCAAUGGGCGAAAGCCUGACGGAGCAACGCCGCGUGAGUGAUGAAGGUCUUCGGAUCGUAAAACUCUGUUAUUAGGGAAGAACAUAUGUGUAAGUAACUGUGCACAUCUUGACGGUACCUAAUCAGAAAGCCACGGCUAACUACGUG
rnacentral:rRNA from 1 species